UUCGAGUGGCGGACGGGUGAGUAACGCGUGGGUAACCUGCCUUACACAGGGGGAUAACACCUGGAAACAGGUGCUAAUACCGCAUAAGCGCACAGGGCCGCAUGGCCCGGUGUGAAAAACUCCGGUGGUGUAAGAUGGACCCGCGUCUGAUUAGCUUGUUGGCGGGGUAACGGCCCACCAAGGCGACGAUCAGUAGCCGGCCUGAGAGGGUGAACGGCCACAUUGGGACUGAGACACGGCCCAAACUCCUACGGGAGGCAGCAG
rnacentral:rRNA from 1 species